UAUUCUUUAAAAAAAAUGCUUUCUCCUAACUGUAUAGCUGUAUUCUUAGAUCUUUCAUUAUGAUACUUAAAUUGGUUUCCUUUGAAUAUCAGCUAAAAUAUAUUUACACUUCUUCUAGCAUUUUAACUAUCUGCCUCAAUCAUUAGGAAGUUUAAAUCUCUUUUCUUGGUUAUCAGAAAAUAACUGUGAAAACUUAAAUAAAAACUUAAAAAAGACAACAAAGAGCUUAAAACAAGAAAUGAUAACAAUGUAAGGUCAACUAUCAAUGCCUAUACCAUGAGCUAAUUUAAGAAAAACUACAUGUCAACCCACUCUCAAUGUUCACUUUCUUAACUAAUUUGUCAGAGGUGCAAGGAUUUUUUUCUGGUCAUCUCUUUAUCUUUUGAUUUCAGUCUUUACAAUUGAUAGCUGACAAUCUGCAGUACUUCUG